UAGAUCUCAAAUCAGGUAGGACUACCCGCUGAACU
rnacentral:rRNA from 1 species